rnacentral:rRNA from 1 species
GACGAACGCUGGCGGCGUGCCUAAUACAUGCAAGUUGAGCGCUGAAGGUUGGUACUUGUACCAACUGGAUGAGCAGCGAACGGGUGAGUAACGCGUGGGGAAUCUGCCUUUGAGCGGGGGACAACAUUUGGAAACGAAUGCUAAUACCGCAUAAAAACUUUAAACACAAGUUUUAAGUUUGAAAGAUGCAAUUGCAUCACUCAAAGAUGAUCCCGCGUUGUAUUAGCUAGUUGGUGAGGUAAAGGCUCACCAAGGCGAUGAUACAUAGCCGACCUGAGAGGGUGAUCGGCCCCAAUGGGACUGAGACACGGCCCAAACUCCUACGGGAGGCAGCAGUAGGGAAUCUUCGGCAAUGGACGAAAGUCUGACCGAGCAACGCCGCGUGAGUGAAGAAGGUUUUCGGAUCGUAAAACUCUGUUGGUAGAGAAGAACGUUGGUGAGAGUGGAAAGCUCAUCAAGUGACGGUAACUACCCAGAAAGGGACGGCUAACUACGUG